AUGGAGGGAGGGCAUGGAUGGCAGUCGGCGGAUCUGCUCCCCGCCGCCCCUCUAACGCACUGCUGCCGCCGAGCACCGCCGAUCCACUCUCCCGCCGGAUCUGCCUCCGUCCUCCCAAGCACCGCCAUCACCUCACCGCCACCUUCCACCCAUUUGCCGUCGCCGCCGUCGGUGGGGAGGGAGGAGCCGCCGAAUCCGCUCCUCGCCGCCUCCUCUCUUGCGUCGUUGCCUCUGAGAGCCGCCACUACCCCCUUCGUCAUUGUCGUCGCCCGCCGCCUCCCACAUCGUCGAGGAGGCGGAUCCGGCCUCCCCCAUCAUCGCGGCGGCCGGAUCCGACCCCGAGCUCAC
rnacentral:lncRNA from 3 species